rnacentral:rRNA from 1 species
UGGGGAAUAUUGCACAAUGGGGGAAACCCGUACGAUGCAGCGACGCCGCGUGGAGGAAGAAGGUCUUCGGAUUGUAAACUCCUGUUGUUGAGGAAGAUAAUGACGGUACUCAACAAGGAAGUGACGGCUAACUACGUGCCAGCAGCCGCGGUAAAACGUAGGUCACAAGCGUUGUCCGGAAUUACUGGGUGUAAAGGGAGCGCAGGCGGGCAUGCAAGUUGGAAGUGAAAACUAUGGGCUCAACCCAUAGCCUGCUUUCAAAACUGCGUGUCUUGAGUAGUGCAGAGGUAGGCGGAAUUCCCGGUGUAGCGGUGGAAUGCGUAGAUAUCGGGAGGAACACCAGUGGCGAAGGCGGCCUACUGGGCACCAACUGACGCUGAGGCUCGAAAGCAUGGGUAGCAAACAGGAUUAGAUACCCUGGUAGU